rnacentral:tRNA from 1 species
UUGUAAGGUGGCCGAGUUUAGGUGUUGGAUUGUAAACCCAAUUACGGGAAUGGAUAGGUUCCCCCUUAUAAA